rnacentral:rRNA from 1 species
GGCUCAGGAUGAACGCUAGCUACAGGCUUAACACAUAGCAAGUCGAGGGGCAGCAUUGGAUAGCUUGCUAUCCAGAUGGCGACCGGCGCACGGGUGAGUAACGCGUAUCCAACCUUCCCAGUAGUAGGGCACACGCCGGCGAAAGUCGGAUUAAUUCCCUAUGUUGUCCAGAGAGGACAUCUGACCUGGACGAAGAUUCAUCGCUAUGGAAUGGGGAUGCGUCUGAUUAGGUUGCAGGCGGGGUAACGGCCCACCUGGCCGACGAUCAGUAGGGGUUCUGAGAGGAAGGUCCCCCACAUUGGAACUGAGACACGGUCCAAACUCCUACGGGAGGCAGCAGUGAGGAAUAUUGGUCAAUGGACGGAAGUCUGAACCAGCCAAGUAGCGUGCAGGAAGACGGCCCUAUGGGUUGUAAACUGCUUUUAUCAGGGGAUAAAGUGAGGUAUGUAUACCUUUUUGCAUGUACCUGAUGAAUAAGGACCGGCUAAUUCCGUGCCAGCCGCGGC